rnacentral:lncRNA from 1 species
AUGAGAAUAUGUCACGGACAAUUUGUAAACACAAAAAUACCUGUAGCAAAUUAAACAAGAACAUAUGUACAAAGAAUAUUUGUAUCCAUGCAAAUGUAGGGUUACAAUCUCUUUAUAACUAGAUCCUCUUAUUCGGUUUCCGAAGAUGAAAAAAGGGGAAUUUUAACGAAACACUUCCGAUACUGUUCACUUUAACGAAAAACCACAUUUUUACUCUAAAAAGUUACUCUGGUACUAUUCACUUACAACACCUUUUUGUCAUUUUGAUUAAAACUCAAAGUUUUCAAGCUACUUUCGUUAGUUUUCCUAAAGAAAAAAAAAUGUAGUGUUGUUAAUCCAAAAAUCACGAUGACUUGAUCUCGAAUGAACGAACGCCUCAAGGUUUUGGCUUGUGGCAAUUGAAGAACUGACACGUGUAGUGGUGGUGCUUGAUGAUUCUUCAAAGGUUUGACAAAGAACAUAGAGCUCUUUUUGAAUUCUUCUAAGUAUUUGGGAAUUUGGAGGAUUUGGAUGCUUGAGAGCUUUAGAGUUUCAAAGCUUUCUCAUCUGCGUGUGAAUGAUUUUCUUGACUCUUUUCUUUGUUUUGGAGCCUCCUAUUUACUGACUCUCCAAGCUUUGCCUACGAAAGAACCAAGAUUUAAUUUGUGUCUUGGUUCAUGAUUUGUGAUUUUACUCCAUCAAUUAAUAUUUG